AAUACUUAUAGGAGCAACAAUUCUGCGUGAAGCGGGUCAGGGGAGGAAUCCAGCAGCCCUAAGCGAGUGUGAAUUGUGUGCUCUUUUUAUGUAAGAAGA
rnacentral:SRP_RNA from 1 species